AGAGUUUGAUCAUGGCUCAGAUUGAACGCUGGCGGCAGGCCUAACACAUGCAAGUCGAGCGGUAGCACAGAGAGCUUGCUCUCGGGUGACGAGCGGCGGACGGGUGAGUAAUGUCUGGGAAACUGCCUGAUGGAGGGGGAUAACUACUGGAAACGGUAGCUAAUACCGCAUAACGUCGCAAGACCAAAGUGGGGGACCUUCGGGCCUCAUGCCAUCAGAUGUGCCCAGAUGGGAUUAGCUGGUAGGUGGGGUAACGGCUCACCUAGGCGACGAUCCCUAGCUGGUCUGAGAGGAUGACCAGCCACACUGGAACUGAGACACGGUCCAGACUCCUACGGGAGGCAGCAGUGGGGAAUAUUGCACAAUGGGCGCAAGCCUGAUGCAGCCAUGCCGCGUGUGUGAAGAAGGCCUUCGGGUUGUAAAGCACUUUCAGCGGGGAGGAAGGCGGUGAGGUUAAUAACCUCAUCGAUUGACGUUACCCGCAGAAGAAGCACCGGCUAACUCCGUGCCAGCAGCCGCGGUAAUACGGAGGGUGCAAGCGUUAAUCGGAAUUACUGGGCGUAAAGCGCACGCAGGCGGUCUGUCAAGUCGGAUGUGAAAUCCCCGGGCUCAACCUGGGAACUGCAUUCGAAACUGGCAGGCUAGAGUCUUGUAGAGGGGGGUAGAAUUCCAGGUGUAGCGGUGAAAUGCGUAGAGAUCUGGAGGAAUACCGGUGGCGAAGGCGGCCCCCUGGACAAAGACUGACGCUCAGGUGCGAAAGCGUGGGGAGCAAACAGGAUUAGAUACCCUGGUAGUCCACGCUGUAAACGAUGUCGAUUUGGAGGUUGUGCCCUUGAGGCGUGGCUUCCGGAGCUAACGCGUUAAAUCGACCGCCUGGGGAGUACGGCCGCAAGGUUAAAACUCAAAUGAAUUGACGGGGGCCCGCACAAGCGGUGGAGCAUGUGGUUUAAUUCGAUGCAACGCGAAGAACCUUACCUGGUCUUGACAUCCACAGAACUUAGCAGAGAUGCUUUGGUGCCUUCGGGAACUGUGAGACAGGUGCUGCAUGGCUGUCGUCAGCUCGUGUUGUGAAAUGUUGGGUUAAGUCCCGCAACGAGCGCAACCCUUAUCCUUUGUUGCCAGCGGUUAGGCCGGGAACUCAAAGGAGACUGCCAGUGAUAAACUGGAGGAAGGUGGGGAUGACGUCAAGUCAUCAUGGCCCUUACGACCAGGGCUACACACGUGCUACAAUGGCAUAUACAAAGAGAAGCGACCUCGCGAGAGCAAGCGGACCUCAUAAAGUAUGUCGUAGUCCGGAUUGGAGUCUGCAACUCGACUCCAUGAAGUCGGAAUCGCUAGUAAUCGUAGAUCAGAAUGCUACGGUGAAUACGUUCCCGGGCCUUGUACACACCGCCCGUCACACCAUGGGAGUGGGUUGCAAAAGAAGUAGGUAGCUUAACCUUCGGGAGGGCGCUUACCACUUUGUGAUUCAUGACUGGGGUGAAGUCGUAACAAGGUAACCGUAGGGGAACCUGCGGUUGGAUCACCU
rnacentral:rRNA from 2 species